rnacentral:snoRNA from 1 species
CAUGUAUUUGAUUAUGAAGUGCAUUGACUCGUUGUGUGCUGUUUCCUCUUCCUUUUGGCAGCCUGGCCUCACUCUAAGUCCAAGGAGAUGGAAGCUGCUUCACAAUGAAGAAGGUGUC